CGCGGAUCGUGGGGGCACCACU
rnacentral:miRNA from 9 species